rfam:Schistosoma mansoni strain Puerto Rico chromosome 3, complete genome
AUACAUCUGAUGAGUCCGAAACAGGACGAAACGCGCGUCUUGGGU